rnacentral:lncRNA from 1 species
AUUCAGAGUUGGUUAAUUUAAAGUUAAUAAGCAUCAAUGUUAUUUCAGUUUAUGUUAGGCUUACCUAACUUAGAGACUAGGUGCCAUCGCGACUCCUUCAGAGGAAUUUUUGGGUCGUGACAGAUACUCUCUUGAGAACCGAGCAACGAUUCCUGCAUAAAAUAUAACAUCAUUUUCCUCUAUAGAUGCUAUUAUUAUACAUAUAAAACAGUGAUCAUUAGCACCUGCAAAGAUGAAACUUACUGCCAGUUGAAAUCUGGAGGAAUAUCUAAUUCCAAAUUAUCCAGCUCUAAAAUUCCACAGGUUGUGUUACUAUUUUCUUGUGAUAAAUGGCAAAUGCAAUGAGAAAGAUCCAAGAUUAUGUCCAAAGCUAUCAAGAUAAAAGCAAGAAGUUCAUCACACAACAGAGAAUUAACAUCAUUUGCGUCAGCUCUUUAUGAUUCUCCAGCUAAAGUCGGGAUGAACUCAUCAAUAAAUUUGUGUUGCUCGAAAUUUUUCACCUUGCACUUUUCUUCCAAAUACUCCAAGAGCUCCACAUCAGAUGGUUAAACAUCACACCAACAGGUAGAUGAGGCCAUACCUGAGAAACAUGGAUCAGUAAGCAGCAAAUUAUUAAAGUAAAUUUGAAGAACUAAGUUAUAAUACAUGUAUUUGCUGGCCUAAUGACAAGAGGGGUUGCUCUGAUGGUAAGCAACCCCCACUUCCAACCGAGAGGUUGUGAGUUCGAGUCCCCCAAGAGCAAGGUGGGAAGUUCUUGGAGGGAAGGUUGCCGGGGUCUAUUUGGAAACAGCCUCUCUACCCAAGGGUAGGGGUAAGGUAUGCGUACACACUACCCUCCCCAGAUCCCAUUCAAUGGGAUUAUACUGGGUUGUUGUUGUUGGGAUGUACCAAUAUCAUAAUAUCUAUUUUGCAUCAUGUCAGUGAAGAUUCAUAUCCAGGCGCGGAUGUGUAGGCAAAUUGAUGGGGCACGUGAACUCAUGGUCUUUCAGUCAAACUAGGUACUGUUUGUAUUUGCUGGCCUAAGUUUGAGCUAAGGGGAAAAGGAAUACAUUUUACUGCAGGGACACUUACCUAAUCAUGAAAAGAAGCAAGAUCCACCAUAUGAUGUAUUAAAUGUCAAACUAUCCCUGUUAACUUGUCCUGCAAAAUACAAGCUAAAGACAAACUUCACCUACGAACAAGUCUAAACAAGAUAGCGAAAGAACAUCAAUUCAAAUUCGAAGUAACAAUUUCAAUUCAUGAGAAUUAUGAGAGUCCCAAAAAGAAAAUCCCAAUGAGGCCCAAAAAAGAAGAAGAAAUAACACCUGCAAAUAAAAAGCCUUAAUUUCUAAUCCAAAUCCAAUAGAGAAAUAGGACAAGGUCAGUCGUACUUCUUCUGUAAUACGCAAACACCUAGCCAAUCGAUACCGAAAAUUAAAUUUUGCAGUACAAGAGUACGAUUACCUUGAUGGAACAAAGCUAAAGCAUCGAACAAACACAGCCAAAACUUGGGAAAGAUUAAUUGAAUUUCAGGCUUAGCAAUGGAAAAAAGCCGAAGAAUUAGGUUUAAACUCCAAUUUAACAGCUCAAAAUUAGGUAAAACCUAUAAAUUUGCCAAGUAAGAAUUAGGUAAAGCAUAUAAAAAGAAGAAUCAGAGCAACACCCAUAAAUCGCAGCAAUUGUAAAUAUUUUUCGAAUAAAUCUGUACAACAAAAUAUAAAUAAAGACCAAGAACAACAAACUAACCAAUUGACCUGUAGAAACAAAAAGGAUGUACUGGGAGAGCAGAGCAGGUUAAUCACUUUAAGAUACAAAGAAAUCUAAAAAAAGCAGAGGAAGAAGAAACCCCAAUAUUAAGCAGUGGCUGUAGAGGUAAAUGUCCAAGUAUAAUGCUGAUAGUAUCAGGGGAAGAUGUAAAAUAGGCUUUGAAAAUGUCCCAGAAAUUUCCAUUAUUUACAAAUUUCUCUGAUGGCAAUUAAUGUAAAAAUGUUGAAAAACAGGGGCAAAAAUAUAAAAACGGAAGCUGGCAUGUCGAUGGAGACGCGUCUGUGUCAGCUGAUACACUCGCACUUUUAAC